UUUGUGCUAUCUCCACCAUAGUUUCCUACAGAAAAUAUUAAUGAAAGAUCACCGUCAAAACGUACACCAGUAAAGUCACUUGGUCAACGAAAACUCCAGAAAAGAAGCAAGAAUUAUUUUAGAAAGCAAUCUUCAUUCAAGCUGCCAACAGUGAAAAUGUUUAUUAUCAAACCGUCCAACAAACCAACAGAAGUUCCAAUGAGUAAUUUUGUCAAUCACUUUUAUGCUACAGAAAAACGGUUAAAAUCUCCCGUAACUCUGCCUAAGAGCAGAGAAAUGCUUUAUGAAUCAAGUUCUUAUGCAUAACUUGCUCACUGUGUUGAAUCUUUAAAGCCACAAUUAAGAACAAGUUGUUUGAUAGUUUGAUGAGAGCAUAAAAUGUGCUUUGAAAAUAAUAACUUUUUGUUAAACUAUGAACUUGGAUAAUAACUUCUCAGGCUAAAUUUCCCUCUGCUGUCUCUUCGAGUAUUACGUAGAAUACAUAAAAAUAUUAUACGACAAAUAUGAUAACACAUAAGAACUGUUAUCCGCAAUUACUACCUCAUUCAAAUUCAGCAAAAUAUUGUAGUAAACGAGCAUGGCUGGAUUAAUACUACGACUUUAAGUUACUAACACUAAUAGAUUGAUACAACAACAACAAGCUUACUACUCAAAAUUAUUAAAAUAGUUUUCAUAAAUUUACUUGAGUUUUAGACUCGCAAGCUACUUUUGAUAACAUGAGAUCGAUGUUUUUUUAACAAAAGCCAAGCUCUGCUCAGAAUAACUACUUGAUACAGUCAAGAGAUUGCGUACGACAGGCCUGAC